CCUACGGGGUGCUGCAGUCGAGAAUCAUUCACAAUGGGGGAAACCCUGAUGGUGCGACGCCGCGUGGGUGAAUGAAGGUCUUCGGAUUGUAAACCCCUGUCAUGUGGGAGCAAAUUAAAAAGAUAGUACCACAAGAGGAAGAGACGGCUAAAUCUGUGACAGAAGCCGCGGUAAUACAGAGGUCUCAAGCGUUGUUCGGAAUCACUGGGCGUAAAGCGUGCGUAGGCUGUUUCGUAAGUCGUGUGUGAAAGGCGAGGGCUCAACCGGCGGACGGCACAUGAUACUGCGAGACUAGAGUGAAGGAGGGGAAACCGGAAUUCUCGGUGUAGCAGUGAAAUGCGUAGAGAUCGAGAGGAACACUCGUGGCGAAGGCGAGUUCCUGGACAUUAACUGACGCUGAGGCACGAAGGCCAGGGGAGCGAAAGGGAUUAGAUACCCGGGUAGUC
rnacentral:rRNA from 1 species